rnacentral:rRNA from 1 species
AAUGGGGGAAACCCUGAUGCAGCAACGCCGCGUGAAGGAAGACGGUUUUCGGAUUGUAAACUUCUGUUCUUAGUGAAGAAUAAUGACGGUAGCUAAGGAGCAAGCCACGGCUAACUACGUGCCAGCAGCCGCGGUAAUACGUAGGUGGCAAGCGUUGUCCGGAAUUACUGGGUGUAAAGGGAGCGUAGGCGGGAUGCCAAGUCAGCUGUGAAAACUAUGGGCUUAACCUGUAGACUGCAUUUGAAACUGGUAUUCUUGAGUGAAGUGCAGAGGUUGGCGGAAUUCCGAGUGUAGCGGUGAAAUGCGUAGAUAUUAGGAGGAACACCAGUGGCGAAGGCGGCCAACUGGGCUUUAACUGACGCUGAGGCUCGAAAGUGUGGGGAGCAAACAGGAUUAGAUACCCUGGUAGUCCACACUGUAAACGAUGAUAACUAGGUGUGGGGGGUCUGACCCCUUCCGUGCCGCAGCUAACGCAAUAAGUUAUCCACCUGGGGAGUACGACCGCAAGGUUGAAACUCAAAGGAAUUGACGGGGACCCGCACAAGCAGUGGAUUAUGUGGUUUAAUUCGAAGCAACGCGAAGAACCUUACCAGCACUUGACAUCCGACUAACGAAGUAGAGAUACAUUAGGUGCCCUUCGGGGAAAGUCGAGACAGGUGGUGCAUGGUUGUCGUCAGCUCGUGUCGUGAGAUGUUGGGUUAAGUCCCGCAACGAGCGCAACCCCUGCCAUUAGUUGCUACGCAAGAGCACUCUAAUGGGACCGCUACCGACAAGGUGGAGGAAGGUGGGGACGACGUCAAAUCAUCAUGCCCCUUAUGUCCUGGGCUACACACGUAAUACAAUGGCCAUCAACAAAGAGAAGCAAUACCGCGAGGUGGAGCAAAACUUCAAAAAUGGUCUCAGUUCGGACUGCAGGCUGCAACCCGCCUGCA